UGGGGGAUAUUGCACAAUGGGGGAAACCCUGAUGCAGCGACGCCGCGUGAGUGAAGAAGUAUUUCGGUAUGUAAAGCUCUAUCAGCAGGGAAGAAAAGCUGACCGAAAGGUCGGCGGACAGUACCUGAAUAAGAAGCCCCGGCUAACUACGUGCCAGCAGCCGCGGUAAUACGUAGGGGGCAAGCGUUAUCCGGAUUUACUGGGUGUAAAGGGAGCGUAGACGGUUAUGUAAGUCUGAAGUGAAAGCCCGGGGCCCAACCCCGGGACUGCUUUGGAAACUGUGUAACUAGAGUACAGGAGGGGCAGGCGGAAUUCCUGGUGUAGCGGUGAAAUGCGUAGAUAUCAGGAGGAACACCGGCGGCGAAGGCGGCCUGCUGGACUGAAACUGACGUUGAGGCUCGAAAGCGUGGGGAGCAAACAGGAUUAGAUACC
rnacentral:rRNA from 1 species